rnacentral:rRNA from 1 species
AAUGGGUAUUGGGGACGGUCCUCAUGUACACUUGAACACCCACAGGCGAAGACAACUCGAAAGUUAUCACGGGGAUUACGGGUUCGGCCGAUGGCGCAAGCCUUCGUCGGGCCUCCAAUCCCAGGGUGUCCCGGUACGGGUGCUUGCACCCAGCGGACAUCCCCGGAGUGCGUAGGAUGUGACCCGAAAGAUGGUGGACUAUGCCUGAUCAGGUCAGGUCGAAGUCAGGGGAAACCCUGAUGGAGGACCGAAGAUCAGGUCGAAGUCAGGGGAAACCCUGAUGGAGGACCGAAGCAAUUCUGACGUGCAAAUCGAUUGUCAGAGUUGGGCAUAGGGGCGAAAGACCAAUCGAACCAUCUAGUAGCUGGUUCCUUCC